rnacentral:lncRNA from 1 species
AAGCCCAAGCCUCGUCUAGCCAAACAUUCAGCCAGGGGAGUCUACACACGAGCAAUUCACACCCUCAAACCUCUGUGGGUGAAGGCAUGUCACUGCCCGCAGGAAGUGGGAUUUGGAAAGACAGGCCUUCACCCUCCUUGCGAAAGUUUAGAAAGAAAGGGGAGGCUGAGAAAAAGCCCCUAUUGGUGAGGUUUUUGCAUGCAAUCUCCAACUACUGGACGAAAGGAUCCUGAGUCAUUUAAUUUAUCACCACAGAAGAUCCUCUUCUGAGUAAUAAAGAAUUGUCAGUCAACACCUCUGCCGGCGGCAAACCCACUGAGAACCUACUGCUAUUAUCAGGAAUCCCAGGCUAACUUCCCCCAAAUCAAGCAAUGGGGCUCUGCCAAAAAAAAAGAAAAAAGAAAAAAUUAAUAAAUAAUACCUGGAUACGUGUGUGGGAGGAGGGAGUCCACUGAAAGGCCCGAUGCUAUCAGGUAAUUUUAAAGAUCUGCUAACACUGUCGACAGUAACAGAGAACUGCAUCUGUUUCUGCUUGAGAAAAAUGCUUCAACAAUAUCCUGUUUCUGGAGUGCUGCACGAAUUCUUGGCCUGCAGUUUCAGAUGCUUCAAGGGUGGCUAUUUUCCUUUUUUGAGACUGAGGAGCCAGGGAGAAUACAGCAGAGGCAACACCCGCCUGUCUGUGAGACCCAUUCAGUCCUCACUAGAGGCGCUGCAUUCUCUGCUGCUGCUGCUGCUGCUGCACUGGUACCUUCACAGACACUGGCUGUCCCCCAGCCCGGGCCGCAGCACAGGUGAGCGCCUGCAAAAGGCAACACCCACAGGUGCCUGACAGGCUCUGCCACUAAAACCUAACUCUUGUAAAAGGUGCCCCGUUCCCCAGCACCUCUACUUUUUCAGAUAAAGGAUUUACACAGAGACAUUGGAAUGUUCAGCCAUCUAAGGGAACAAUGGCUGCUGCCUUGACUCCGAGCCAGGGUGGGAGUGAACAGAUCCUGAUGCUCAAGGACGGUCACCCCCACGCCAUCCUGAACCUGCUUCUUUGGUCUCAGAUCCACAGCUGUGAGCCGCUUCAAAUACCCGUCCCAAUCCCCCCCACCCCACCCCGGCCCCAGC